rnacentral:rRNA from 1 species
UGAAUACGAGAUGCUACGGCGUCGAAGCAGUCUAUGUCAUACUUCCAAGAAAAGCUCGCACUGUCAUAAACAAAUAAUGCCUGUACCAUAACCGACACAGGUGGGUAGGUAGAGUAUACUAAGGGGCGCGAGAUAACUCUCUCUAAGGAACUCGGCAAAUGACUCCGUAACUUCGGGAGAAGGAGUGCCUUAUUUAUAAGGUUGCAAUAACAAGAUCCAAGCAACUGUUUAUCAAAAACACAGGUCUCCGCUAAGUCGUAAGACGAUGUAUGGGGGCUGACGCCUGCCCAGUGCCAGAAGGUUAAAGAAGUUGGUUAGCAUUCGCGAAGCUGAUAACUGAAGCCCUGGUGAACGGCGGCCGUAACGAUAACGGUCCUAAGGUAGCGAAAUUCCUUGUCGGGUAAGUUCCGACCCGCACGAAAGGCGUAAUGAUUUGGAUACUGUCUCGGAGAGGGGCUCGGUGAAAUAGACUUGUCUGUGAAGAUGCGGACUACCUGCACCAGGACAGAAAGACCCUGUGAAGCUUUACUGUAACUUGAGAUUGAAAUUGGACUUUACUUGCGCAGUAUAGGUGGGAGGCGUUGAUAAUAUUCUUGCGGGAUUAUUUGAGCCAUCAGUGAGAUACCACUCUUGUAAUGUUAGAUUUCUAACUUUGUAUCAUUAUCUGGUCAAAGGACAGUUUCAGGCGGGCAGUUUGACUGGGGCGGUCGCCUCCUAAACGGUAACGGAGGCGCACAAAGGUUUCCUCUGAACGGGUAGAAAUCGUAUCUAGAGUGUAAAGGCAUAAGGAAGCUUGACUGUGAGACCUACAAGUCGAGCAGGGACGAAAGUCGGUCUUAGUGAUCUGACGGUGCUGAGUGGAAAGGCCGUCACUCAACGGAUAAAAGUUACUCUAAGGAUAACAGGCUGAUCUCCCCCAAGAGUUCACAUCGACGGGGAGGUUUGGCACCUCGAUGUCGGCUCAUCGCAUCCUGGGGCGGUAGUACGUCCCAAGGGUUGGGCUGUUCGCCCAUGAAAGCGGUACGCGAGCUGGGUUCAGAACGUCGUGAGACAGUUCGGUCCAUAUCCGGUGUAGGCGUUAGAAUAUUGAGAGGAGCCUUCUUUAGUACGAGAGGACCGAGAAGGACAUACCUCUGGUGUACCAGUUAUCGUGCCAACGGUAAACGCUGGGUAGCUAUGUAUGGAGUGGAUAACCGCUGAAAGCAUCUAAGUGGGAAGCCCACCUCAAGAUAAGUAUUCCA